rnacentral:rRNA from 1 species
GGAAGUAAAAGUCGUAACAAGGUCUCCGUAGGUGAACCAGCGGAGGGAUCAUU